UGAACUUUCUUCCAACUAAUAAAGCACUCUUCGUUUAGUAUGUUUGAGUUUUUACGGAAAAUGUCAAUUUAGCAUUAAAGCCAAAAUAGCCAUGGCCUUAAGAAGGAAACAGUGGGUGUGGCUGAGUAUUCCCAACGGAUAUAAAUAACGACACGUGUCCGACAUUUGGAUGCGCAUUUGUCGCUGAUCGUGGGCCUGCAGUGCUAUAAUGCCUUAGCCGGCACCAUCAUCUUCACCUUCACGUGCAGCCGGAAUGCGGCCGGUCAGCCGCCUGCGGUAACCGCUAUCAUCGCUCUGAUCGAUUGCGUCUGCUCUUUUUUUCUUCUAAUCUUCGCCUGCGCGUAUUCAUGCGAACAGGGUCAAAAACUGGUCCAAGUUGCCCAAAUUUGCCUUCGAAAAGGAGUGGAAAAAGGAUGAACGGAAGACCAUGUAUCACCGUGGCAGGCGCUGCGCACCGGGGUGUUUCACUGUGGCGGGCGUGGUAAUCACGAGGGAGAGCGCCAUGCAGGUGCAAGUUUGCGAUUCAUCGAUUUGCGAUUUCUGUGUGAACCGCUCUGUUAAGCACUCUGGUGGUCUUUGCGGAACUGGCUCGCGCCGCCACCGGCGCUGAAACCGGCAUUAGCGCCAUCAACGUCACGCAGAACACCUAAGUGCAGGAGAAGCCAGGCAUAUUUCCGGGUUAUCCGUAGCGCAUCGUUUCUUGCUAGACCCAUCAGUCUAUCUCAGUUUCAUUACUUCGUGGACAAACCUACAUUUGGGGCGAUCUCAAAUCCGUGUAGCUUAUUGUGCUAUUGCAAACGCUCUACGAGUAAAAAUUGUCGAUGAUUUUCAGUGCUGAUGCAAAAA